CACCAAUCCAAUCCCAAAAUAUUACAAAGAAAAAAUAAAUCUGAUCUUUACCACACCUACUUUUUUACUCAAUAUACGAAAAGUCUAAAAAUGCUAUGCUCACAAUAUUUUUCUCUCAGAUUAACUCUUUGGCCACAUCCAAAAUAAUGAAAUACAUCCGCUAUUUAGAGGAUCAAUAAUCAAAUAGAAGAGUUUAAUUUAAACUCAAACAAGAUUCUUUUAACUCAAUAAUGAUUCCUUCAUGUGCAAUAUUUCAAAACCGAUUAUAAAUUGGAGACUAAGUUCUGCAUGGAUUCAUACAAUAACUAACUUGUUAUUAUUUGCAGUAGAAGUCCUCCAACUUUUGACUCUUGAGGUAAUUACCCAACAAUCUCCACCUUGUCGAAAAAGAGUCAAAAUCUUGUCAUCUCUUCUACAACUUUUAAUCACAAUACUUGGAAAAAACAGGUAAGCCUUUGGCACACUUUAACAGUCCCAUAUUCCACCAUGUGAGUAUAACCACUCAGAGUUAUUCGCGAACUCCGAGCAUUUCAUUAGCUACAUGUCGAAACAACCCUGGUGAUAGUUAUGGUGCAACUCUUCAACUGACUUUUUUAAAGAGCUCAUUAGCCAUUGACAUUACAAUACCACCACAUACCUACAUACCUUGCAUCAAAUGUCAAUCAAUGUUAUGUGCAGAUAUGCUGACCCAUGCCAGUAAGAACACAUCCUCUAUCAUGACAACUGAGAACAUGCCAUGAGGAUGUUCCCAUCUUAUUUUACAGCACUACAUCCGCGUCCUCCUCCGCCAGGAGAGACGCAUUGUCCUACCCCAAACAGUUAGCCGACUCUGCUACACCUUUUGGACAAUUUCUCUUCACGUGUCCAUUCAGACCGCAGUUCCAACAAGUUAUUUUAUUUCUCAUUGAGUUGCUGUUCUUCUUCUUUUCAGUCACAAGCACCAGAUUGUUAGAUAGACUAUUAUGUCCCCUAAUCUUCUUUCUUCUGAGAUCAAGUUGCUUGUACUUCUGUAAAACUCACAGUUUCUUUCUCAUACAUAAGAUUGGUUUGAUAUGUUCAUAGGUAGACAGAAGAGACCAGAUAAGCCGUAGUAUCUAUCUUUACUCCAAAUAGCCUCCAGUUCUGAAACAAUCUCGUUGAGAACACUCAGAUGGUCUAAGAUUUUCGUACUUGCCUCCAUGCGCAAUUAAUGAAAUUUCUCUAUCAGGUACAACCGAUUUGAGAGGCUUUUCGUUUGAUAUAGUUCUUCUAACUUCUCAUAUAAUUCCUUUGCAAUAGAUAUUCCAUGAAUAUUUGUA
rnacentral:lncRNA from 1 species